UACGUAGGGGGCUAGCGUUGUCCGGAAUCAUUGGGCGUAAAGGGCGUGUAGGCGGUCCGGUAAGUCCGCUGUGAAAGUCGGGGGCUCAACCCUGGAAUGGCGGUGGAUACUGUCGGGCUAGAGUGCGGAAGAGGCGAGUGGAAUUCCUGGUGUAGCGGUGAAAUGCGCAGAUAUCAGGAGGAACACCGGUGGCGAAGGCGGCAUCCUGGACCGGCACUGACGCUGAGGAGCGAAAGCCAGGGGAGCAAACGGG
rnacentral:rRNA from 1 species